UCCCCGUUGCCGGGGCAGUCUGAAUAGAAAAAUACAACUAUUCACAAGGGUUGCGCUCGUUAAUGGACUUAACCAAACAUCUCACGACACGAGCUGACGACGGCCAUGCAUCAUCUGUCACCGAGUUCCCCGUACUUAUCUCAAUAAACUCUGUAAGUAAACUUACAGUAUUCAAAUAACUACGGGGCACUCAAUCCUUUCGGAUUAAUUCUCGGGAUGUCAAGCCCUGGUAAGGUUCUUCGUUUAUCAUCGAAUUAAAGAACACGAUCCACCGCUUGUGCGGGUCCCCGUCAAUUCCUUUAUGUUUUAGUCUUGCGACCGUACUCCACAGGCGGGAUACUUAACGCGUUAGCUUCGCUACUGAAGGGGUCGAUACCUCCAACAGCUAGUAUCCAUCGUU
rnacentral:misc_RNA from 1 species